UACAUGUGGGGCAAGCGUUGUUCGGAAUUACUGGGCAUAAAGGGUGCGUAGGCGGCUUGUUAAGUCAGGGGUGAAAGUUUUCGGCCCAACCGGAAAAUUGCCUUUGAUGCUGGCGAGCUGGAGUGCGUGAGGGGUGACCGGAACGAGUGGUGUAGCGGUGAAAUGCGUAGGAUAUCACUCGGAAGGCCAACGGCGAAGGCAGGUCACUGGUGCGCAACUGACGCUGAGGCACGAAAGCGUGGGGGAGCAA
rnacentral:rRNA from 1 species